rnacentral:snRNA from 14 species
GUCCUUCAGCACUGGCAGUAUUAUAGCCAAUGAUGUUUAUCUGAGUCACAAUUAUUGCUAAUUAAAUGUUUGGUAGAAUUCCCUGUGAAGCCAUCUGGUCCUGGACUUUGUUUGUUAGGAAGUUUUUUUUUAAAUUUUAUUACUAAU